rnacentral:rRNA from 1 species
AUGUCGUACGAUCAGGUGCUCUCUGUUCUCGGAGGUGGCGGCAAGGCGGCGGCGGUGAGCGCGUGGAGCGGCCAUGGAAGCAACAUCACGAGGCAGAUCGUCAAGUGCACCAGGUGGCAGCUGGAGGAGACCACCGACCUCAUCACCUGCCCUUACCACUACUACUGCGACAGCUCCUACCCGGGCGACUACUCGGCUGCCGUCGGCGUCCUCGUCGCCGUUUUAGCCGUUUAUUGCCUCCUGUCCGCGGCGGCCUUCACCGUGGUAGAGAUCGUCAGGGCUGGCGGCGGCAGCCCGGCGACGGCGGCCGGUGGCGUCGGGCGGAUCAAGCGGAAGUACCUGGUGCCGUCGGGGCCCUUCUUGAUGCCGCUGGUGCUGCUGGUGCUCGCCAAGGGGCAGCGGAUCAACGCCGUCUUCCCGCUCGCGCGGCUCGGCCCGGCAUUGCUGCUCACGCUGCAGGCAUCGGCGCUGGCGUUCCGAAACGAGGCCGACGGCGACGUGCGCUACGCCGUGCUCGAGGCGUCCACCGUGUCCGGGAUCCUGCACGCGAGUCUGUACCUCGACGCCGUCGUGCUGCCCUACUACACGGGCACGGACGCGCUCCGGUGGUCGCGGUUCUCCGGCAAGUGCGCCACCUGCCUCUGCCGAAUGGAGCCUCUGGUCGUGGGCGGCCGGACGGUGCUCUACCGGGGUCUGUCCAAGACAGCGCUGGCCAUCAUUUUCGCGCUCUGCUCCAGGAUGGUGUGCCGGAUCUACGGCGAGGAGCGGCUGAGCGCGUGGACGCGGUCGGCGCUGGAGGUCGCGAGCUGGCUUUUCGUGUCUUGCGACGCCGUGUACCUCGCCGGUUGGGUGAUUGCCGAGGGUGCCAUGGCGAGCGCGGUCGUGUACGGACUCGUCGCCUGGCUGGUGUUCCUGUGUGUGUUUGGGAAGGUUUACAGAUUCUUGGCGUGGGUGGAGAACAGGCAGGUCCAAUGGAAACCAAGCCUUACCUGCCACAAUGUGGUUUGA